CUGCCACAUAAUAAGUUCUGCUGCUGCUUUGGUGUAUGUGCUUGGCUCAGGAGCCAAUGGGGCGAAGCCACCGUCUGUGGGAUUAUGACUGAACGCCUCUAAGUCAGAAUCCC
rnacentral:ncRNA from 1 species